rnacentral:ncRNA from 1 species
ACGGUUCCGGUUCACGUCCGAUCAUCAGCACAUGAAGGCGACCCGGCGACC